ACAUUAGAGUUUGAUCAUGGCUCAGAUUGAACGCUGGCGGAAUGCUUUACACAUGCAAGUCGAACGGCAGCACGGGGGCAACCCUGGUGGCGAGUGGCGAACGGGUGAGUAAUACAUCGGAACGUGCCCAGUCGUGGGGGAUAACGUAGCGAAAGCUACGCUAAUACCGCAUACGAUCUACGGAUGAAAGCGGGGGAUCGCAAGACCUCGCGAUUGGAGCGGCCGAUGGCAGAUUAGGUAGUUGGUGGGGUAAAGGCUCACCAAGCCGACGAUCUGUAGCUGGUCUGAGAGGACGACCAGCCACACUGGGACUGAGACACGGCCCUGACUCCUACGGGAGGCAGCAGUGGGGAAUUUUGGACAAUGGGCGAAAGCCUGAUCCAGCCAUUCCGCGUGCAGGAUGAAGGCCCUCGGGUUGUAAACUGCUUUUGUACGGAACGAAAAGCCUUCUUCUAAUACAGGAGGGUCAUGACGGUACCGUAAGAAUAAGCACCGGCUAACUACGUGCCAGCAGCCGCGGUAAUACGUAGGGUGCGAGCGUUAAUCGGAAUUACUGGGCGUAAAGCGUGCGCAGGCGGUUAUGUAAGACAGUUGUGAAAUCCCCGGGCUCAACCUGGGAACUGCAUCUGUGACUGCAUAGCUAGAGUACGGUAGAGGGGGGAUGGAAUUCCGCGUGUAGCAGUGAAAUGCGUAGAUAUGCGGAGGAACACCGAUGGCGAAGGCAAUCCCCUGGACCUGUACUGACGCUCAUGCACGAAAGCGUGGGGAGCAAACAGGAUUAGAUACCCUGGUAGUCCACGCCCUAAACGAUGUCAACUGGUUUGUUGGGUCUUCACUGACUCAGUAACGAAGCUAACGCGUGAAGU
rnacentral:rRNA from 1 species